UGAGGAAUAUUGCCCAAUGGCCGCAAGUCUGAGGCAGCAACGCCGCGUGGGCGAUGAAGGCCUUCGGGUUGUAAAGCCCUUUUCUGGGGGAAGAGGAAGGACGGUACCUCAGGAAUAAGUCACGGCUAACUACGUGCCAGCAGCCGCGGUAAUACGUAGGUGGCAAGCGCUAUCCGGAUUCACUGGGCGUAAAGCGCGUGCAGGCGGUUUCGUAAGUCGGACGUGAAAGCUCCUGGCUUAACUGGGAGAGGUCGUUCGAUACUGCGGGGCUUGAGGUCGGGAGAGGGACGUGGAAUUCCCGGUGUAGUGGUGGAAUGCGUAGAUAUCGGGAGGAACACCAGUGGCGAAGGCGACGUCCUGGCCCGCACCUGACGCUGAGACGCGAAAGCGUGGGUAGCAAACGG
rnacentral:rRNA from 1 species